rnacentral:rRNA from 1 species
UGGCGGCCGUAGCGCGGUGGUCCACCUGACCCAUGCCGAACUCAGAAGUGAAACGCCGUAGCGCCGAUGGUAGUGUGGGGUCUCCCCAUGCGAGAGUAGGGAACUGCCAGGCA